UAGGGAAUCUUCCGCAAUGGGCGAAAGCUUGACGGAGCAACGCCGCGUGAGUGAUGAAGGUCUUCGGAUCGUAAAACUCUGUUAUUAGGGAAGAACAAAUGUGUAAGUAACUAUGCACGUCUUGACGGUACCUAAUCAGAAAGCCACGGCUAACUACGUGCCAGCAGCCGCGGUAAUACGUAGGUGGCAAGCGUUAUCCGGAAUUAUUGGGCGUAAAGCGCGCGUAGGCGGUUUUUUAAGUCUGAUGUGAAAGCCCACGGCUCAACCGUGGAGGGUCAUUGGAAACUGGAAAACUUGAGUGCAGAAGAGGAAAGUAGAAUUCCAUGUGUAGCAGUGAAAUGCGCAGAGAUAUGGAGGAACACCAGUGGCGAAGGCGACUUUCUGGUCUGUAACUGACGCUGAUGUGCGAAAGCGUGGGGAUCAAACAGG
rnacentral:rRNA from 1 species